rnacentral:rRNA from 1 species
AACGACUCUCGACAACGGAUAUCUCGGCUCUCGCAUCGAUGAAGAACGUAGCGAAAUGCGAUACUUGGUGUGAAUUGCAGAAUCCCGUGAACCAUCGAGUCUUUGAACGCAAGUUGCGCCCGAAGCCACUAGGCCGAGGGCACGCCUGCCUGGGCGUCACGC